CUCAAGCUCGACAUCUCCAAGGCUUUCGACUCUGUGGGUUGGGCUUACCUCCUGGAGGUGCUGCAACAGUUGAGAUUUGGGCAGCGCUGGCGGGAUUGGAUCUGCAUGACCCUCGCUUCAUCUUCCUCUAGGGUGCUGUUAAAUGGGGAGCCGGGAACCCCAUUCGUACAUGCAAAAGGCCUUCGCCAGGGCGACCCGGUGUUGCCUAUGCUCUUCAUUCUGGCCAUCGAUCCUCUGCAACUUAUGUUUCGGGCGGCUUUCCAGGCCGGGAUCCUCAAGCCCAUCAGGGCGCGGACG
rnacentral:rRNA from 1 species